UACGAAGGGGGCUAGCGUUGCUCGGAAUUACUGGGCGUAAAGCGCACGUAGGCGGCUUUCUAAGUCGGGGGUGAAAUCCUGGAGCUCAACUCCAGAACUGCCUUCGAUACUGGAGAGCUCGAGUCCGGGAGAGGUGAGUGGAACUGCGAGUGUAGAGGUGAAAUUCGUAGAUAUUCGCAAGAACCCCAGUGGCGAAGGCGGCUCACUGGCCCGGUACUGACGCUGAGGUGCGAAAGCGUGGGGAGCAAACAGG
rnacentral:rRNA from 1 species